AAUGUUUUCUUUGACAUUAUUCGUGUCUCAAUGUCGACAUUUUGUGUACUAUUUUCUACUUUUGAGGAAGCAACACAUGAAAGAUUCAUGUCAAAGGCUAAGGCAACUAAAAAAGUAUAAUCCAUAUUUAACGGAAACAAAAGCAGUGAAAACAUGUCAAAUACAAGUAUGCAAAUAAUAGUGUAACACAUCAAAAGACGGAGAAUGCUUUGAUGCAUCUUUUUAGGAAAAUGCUUUGAUGCUUUGGAUUGCAGCACAUACUAGGAAGGGUGGUGGACCAUCCAAUUUGCUUGCUGCAGAGACUAUUGAAAAUAUUAUGCAACAUGAAAAUGGAUCAUCAUCUAUCUGGUUUUCGAAGUGACGCUCUUUCCGAAGUUUUUGGUGCCGAGCAAAAUGGUCGUGCAAGAGGAGUUGGAGGUGGUGUUCCUCCUACAAAGCUUGAAGUAUUUUCACAACAGAAAUGGUGUAAUCACCAAAGGGAUGAAAAGGUGCACAAUUUGACUAAUAGGUCUGAGCAUUGACGGAAUUGGUGCAUCUUUUUAUGAAAAAUAAGAUUGAGAAAUAAGAAUUUGGAUUGAAGCCAAUGAAUUGCCAGGGCAUUGUUUGCUGUUGCAGCAUAGGGAUCGUUCUGUGGGAAAGGUAGGAUCUAUACGAGCAUGAUUGCCUUUCGCAAAUGUUAUAUUAAAAGCAUUCUUUCUAAUUUUUACCCUUUUUGGAUUUCUUAGUUUGAGGUGAAAAUGGAAUUUGGAGAAAAAAUGAAUCUCAUUUUGGGUUAACACAAACCACAAAUCACUUGAUAAUACCAAAUGACAUGAUUGUUAAUGAUUGGAUUCUUAGUUAAGUUUUGAUUAACGUGUUUAUUUUCAACUUGUGACAUGUCAUUUAAUUUAAAGUUUUAUUCUCUCUAUCAUUAUUCAUAACAAAAACAAAUUUAUGGGUUUUAUUUUUUGUGUGUGUUUUGUUAGAGACACAUGUCCUCAUUUCCAGUCGG